UACAGGGGGUGCAAGCGUUAUUCGGAUUUAUUGGGCGUAAAGAGCGCGUAGGCGGUUUGGUAAGUUUGGUGUGAAAUCCCUGGACUCAAUUCAGGAAGUGCAUUGAAUACUGCUAGACUGGAGUGCUGGAGAGGAGAACGGAAUUCCUGGUGUAGCGGUGAAAUGCGCAGAUAUCAGGAAGAACACCCGUGGCUAAGGCGGUUCUCUAGUACGGUACUGACGCUGAGACGCGAAAGCGUGGGGAGCGAACAGG
rnacentral:rRNA from 1 species